rnacentral:lncRNA from 1 species
UUUUUUCGUUUCCUAAAUUUCUUAUUUUUGUCCUUGCAAGUGGUCCUGUCUGGUGUGAACCGUCAGCACAGAUGGCCUCCUGGAGCUUCCCCGAGUCGUUCGCUGGGGGAAGCGGGCGGUGAGCGGCCAGCCCGGGCGCUCCGCAGGCCGCGAGCUCCCGGCAGGGCUGGUGGCGGGGGUCCGCCUGGGGGAGGAAUCCCCGCCUGCUCCAUCGGACCCGGCCUGGCGCGGCUCGCGGCGCUCGGCGGGCUCCCUUCCAUUCUAGAAUCUUCCCGCUUGCUUCCCAGCCCGCGUUCUUCCGCCUGCCUUUAAUUGUGUAAGUUUGACGAAGUCAGAGCUUUGGGUUCCAGGAAAAGCGCAGGAGGGUCAUAGAGGAAGGGAGGGCGCAGGUUGGAGUCAGGUCCAAACAGUCCCUAUCGCCACUUUUGAAAAAAAAAAAAAACAACAAAAACCCUUAAGGUUGGUUUUAUUUUGCCUUUUGGUAGCGGGCGUAUUCAUUUAGAUUUUUUUUUCAAGACAGGCAAAUAAAAGGUGUUUGAAAUCUCUAGUUAUCCCGUUUAACACACCCAUCGAUGGCGCUUUUCUAGUUAAGCUACGGGGGAAACGUCUUUAUCCCGCAGUUAGGCUGCGAACUUGUGCAGAUGCUCAGGCUUUGUGGAGACGCUCCGGCAUCUGGCGCAGAGGCGCCCGGCGGGGAAAAGUUUGCAGCCCGGGCUUUGGGGCGCGCGGGGGGCAGGAAUUUUUCUGAGAAGAGAGGGGCAUAGAGAGGCGGCGCGGGUGGGGAGAGAAAAAAGGAACGCAGGGGGGAGGGGGAAAAGCAGCUUGCAGGAUGGGAGUUUCUUGCAGAAUUUACAGGAUUAAGGAGUUUGGGGAAGUCGCAGAGCUGCAGCGGAAAGGCAGGGGUCUGAGACUACUUUUGAGAAGAGAAACAACGCAAAACGAUCGCUGGAGGGCCAGAGCCCUGGUCGAAGGUGCCCUAGCUUUUAUGACCUGGUUAAUUGUGUCUCCUUUUUAUUUUUAUUUUUUUCCUUACCACUACUACUACUACUACUUUUAUUUUUUUUUAACCGAUACACUUUGGAGAGAAGAAGCAGACACAGGUUCCCACGGCGUCUGACGCCUGCGGAGCAAGUCCAGAGCCAGCUGGACUCGCAGCCUCUGGCCCGGCGGCACCAACUCCUCACUGGGUCAUUUUGAGCGCGCUGUGCCCACCUUUUCUGUUGCGUGUGGACGUGGGGAGGAUCUUCUAAGUCCCUCCAACGAAGGCAAGUGUGAGACUCUGGCCCUUUAUUUGUAAGAAGCAAGCCUUCAGAUUGCAGAAGUGUCGCGCGGGUCGCCGUGCGUUGCGCGAGUGGGAAGAUGGAGGAGGCCGGCACGCUGCUUUCGUGGACGCAAGUGAACCGGGCGUGAAGGCAGGGUGCGAGCUCUGCCCUUGGCCCAGCCCUGCGUGGGCGCCGUCCCAGAUUCCGGGCGGUGCGGGGUGCAGAGAUCUGGAGAGACUUGCGGGCUCCCCAGCGCAGGCUGCUCUGGGAUUUCGUUGGAAGAUCCGGCAGAGCCUUGGAGGAGAGGGCCCGGGAGGCUGUGUGUGCAGCGGAAACUUGUACGAAUGCCCCCACAGCGGAAAUGGUGCGCACGAGUAAUUUCUGCGGUGCACCCUUUUAAAAAUUGACAAGUGAACAAGAUCAAUUUUUUAAGAAAGCAAAGGUAGAAAACAAAAGGCGUGCGACUUCUUGACUGGCUUGUUCCCGCCUUUCUUCCUUCUCUAUACUCAGAUCAGAAACUUUUCUUUAAUUGCUCUUAUUCAGUGCGACAACUUUUAAUAAAAGCAUUUGCAUUUUAA